AACGCUAGCUACAGGCUUAACACAUGCAAGUCGAGGGGUAACGAGAGGAAAGCUUGCUUUCCUUGUCGACGACCGGCGCACGGGUGAGUAACGCGUAUCCAACCUGCCCCCAACUAGGGAAUAACCUUGCGAAAGUAAGACUAAUACCCAAUGAUAUCUCUAGAAGACAUCUGAAAGAGAUUAAAGAUUUAUCGGUGAUGGAUGGGGAUGCGUCUGAUUAGCUUGUUGGCGGGGUAACGGCCCACCAAGGCAACGAUCAGUAGGGGUUCUGAGAGGAAGGUCCCCCACAUUGGAACUGAGACACGGUCCAAACUCCUACGGGAGGCAGCAGUGAGGAAUAUUGGUCAAUGGACGAGAGUCUGAACCAGCCAAGUAGCGUGCAGGAAGACGGCCCUAUGGGUUGUAAACUGCUUUUAUAAGGGAAUAAAGUGAGUCUCGUGAGACUUUUUGCAUGUACCUUAUGAAUAAGGACCGGCUAAUUCCGUGCCAGCAGCCGCGGUAAUACGGAAGGUCCGGGCGUUAUCCGGAUUUAUUGGGUUUAAAGGGAGCGUAGGCCGGAGAUUAAGCGUGUUGUGAAAUGUAGAUGCUCAACAUCUGAACUGCAGCGCGAACUGGUUUCCUUGAGUACGCACAAAGUGGGCGGAAUUCGUGGUGUAGCGGUGAAAUGCUUAGAUAUCACGAAGAACUCCGAUUG
rnacentral:rRNA from 1 species